AGAGGUUAGAAAUCUUUUAUUAGCUGAUUACUGUUUUAUGUUAAUACAGUUAGUCUAGGUCUAGGAAGCUGUGAGUUUUACUAAACCCUCCAUCUCCUCCUGUAGCACACUGCAUUUCAGAAGACAGUGCAGCUGGGAAUGGGACACCCAGAGAGAGCUGGAACCUCCAUCUAUCCAGUGAGGCUUUCCAGACCAGAGCCAGGUUUGAUCUACAUUUGGCAAUAUCCCUGUGCUGAGGAAGGUGGAUCUAGAUGGCAGCUACAGAUUUCAUCCAGUCUCUGCAUCCUCCUUUCAGCUCCCCAGCUCCUAACUGGGAAUAGCUGCCAGCACUGCUCUCAGGAAAAGGCAGUGGCUGUUUACCUGCCCUGGCCAGCCAGUCCUGGGAGGACAGGUCAGUGAAACCCUUGGGAAUGCACAAAGUGCCAGCCUGGUGAGCUGAGAACAGCUGCUUCUGCUGCAGUGGGACCCAACAGUAUAAAAAACUGACUUUUUAUUACGUUUCUAUAAAAAAUAUGAGACCUGACUAAAAGAAUGGGUA
rnacentral:lncRNA from 1 species